GAGAUUAUGGCUCAGUGGUAGAGCGCUCACCUAGCACGAGAGGGGCCUGGGUUCAAUCCUCAGCACCACA
rnacentral:tRNA from 1 species